rnacentral:tRNA from 1 species
GCUCUUCUAGUAUUGACAAUACAAAUGACUUCCAAUCAUUAGACCCUGAUAUUCUAACCCCAGGGAAGAGCA